rnacentral:rRNA from 2 species
AAGUCGAGCGGACAGAUGGGAGCUUGCUCCCUGAUGUUAGCGGCGGACGGGUGAGUAACACGUGGGUAACCUGCCUGUAAGACUGGGAUAACUCCGGGAAACCGGGGCUAAUACCGGAUGGUUGUUUGAACCGCAUGGUUCAGACAUAAAAGGUGGCUUCGGCUACCACUUACAGAUGGACCCGCGGCGCAUUAGCUAGUUGGUGAGGUAACGGCUCACCAAGGCGACGAUGCGUAGCCGACCUGAGAGGGUGAUCGGCCACACUGGGACUGAGACACGGCCCAGACUCCUACGGGAGGCAGCAGUAGGGAAUCUUCCCCAAUGGACGAAAGUCUGACGGAGCAACGCCGCGUGAGUGAUGAAGGUUUUCGGAUCNNAAAGCUCUGUUGUUAGGGAAGAAAAAGUGCCGCUCAAAUAGGGCGGCACCUUGAAGGCACCUAACCANAAAGCCACGGCUAACUACGCGCCAGCACCCGCGCUAAUUCCCAGGGGGGAAGCGCCGCUCGGAAUUUUUGGGCNUAAANGUUUCCCGUCG